UCGCACCUACCGAUUGAAUGGUUCGGUGAAAAUUUCAGACCGUAGCUUCGUUUUCUUUAUUGGAGACGUUGCCGUGGAAAGAUAUUUAAACCUCAUCAUUUAGAGGAAGGUG
rnacentral:rRNA from 1 species